AUGGCUUCCCUUACUAUGCUUGUCGGUUGGGUCAUCUGGAAUGAGAGGAACGCUAGAGUUUUUAGGAAGAAAUCAACGCCCCCCUUCUACAUUCUAAAACUAAUCCAAGAUGAAGCCAAACUUUGGGUCACGACAGGAGCUAGGCACCUGAGCAUUAUCAUGCCGCGAGAGUAG
rnacentral:rRNA from 1 species